ACGAGGGGUCGCCUGUCAUCUUUGCCCCUAUCCUGUAACUGCUUCCCCGCGCGCGCACAAAAAACUGCCCAGCCGCGCUUCUGCCGCUGCCCCGCUCGGCCAGCUCACGCCCACGUCGCCUCCUCUCUCACCAAUAUCCGCCGCGCUUGCCGCAUGUCGAGUCUCCCCGAGCAGAUCGCCGUUGUCCCUGCACCAAGCACACCGGAGAACUGACGUCGGCCACGAACCUCCGUCCCAAGACUUGCGGCUCUUGGGAACUGCCGUGUUCACUCCCCGCCGCGCCGGAGCUCCGUUAAGCCGUUGCCGUGACAUUCUCCGUCGAGAUCCGUUUCGAGGUGAGAAAAUAUCAUGCGUCGUUUGAUUUCUUUUCUCGGACCUCGUCUUGAUGUUGAUCUGCUAUCACUCACCCCAACGCCGCGCUGCUGUCUGCUACCCUGCCUUGCCCGCUAUGCCACCGUGUUGUAGAGAUGUAGCCGUGCCGGCCAUGGCCGUCAACCGUCGUGCAUCAACACAGCGCUUGCCGAGCCUCACCGUUGCUGCUCCGCAGGUCGCCACGCAUGCUCGUGAUAGUGUCCCCUUCCACCGGCAUCGCCUCGCCCCCUGGCCUCCACUUCCCAGCGCGACAGGAUCCAUCCCACCCCUGUGCAGUGCUCGUGCGUCCAGCCAUGGGCAGGCGCGAUGACGCCUGGGCGUGUGUGUCCCCUGCUGGUAGCGCAGCUAGCUGCCUCAGCCGAACCCGCCCUCGUCUAGCUCCUGCAGCUCCUGCCGAGUCCCAUGGAUGGUCCUCUCUCUCUUCUAUGCUGCUGUUCAACGAAGAAGAAAGCCCCUUGCCGUGUCCGUGCGGUUGUAAAAAGAAUGGGAAGAAGCUAGCCACAUGUGAUCCUAAGCUUGGGAUCUUCUAUGGCUACGUCUGGUGAGACCAUAGGUGUGGCCAACCGCUAGCAAUAAUAAUUUGCCGCAUCGCUUAAAAUCCCCGAAGUGUUAAAUAUUUGAUAUAUGUUGCGUUAUAAAUCCAAUUCUCUUC
rnacentral:lncRNA from 1 species